GAUGAAGAACGUAGCGAAAUGCGAUACUUGGUGUGAAUUGCAGAAUCCCGUGAACCAUCGAGUCUUUGAACGCAAGUUGCGCCCGAAGCCAUUAGGCCGAGGGCACGCCUGCCUGGGCGUCACACGUCGUUGCCCCCCCAUCUACUCCUUCGGGAUUGCGGGGGGCGGAUGAUGGCCUCCCGUGCGCCUCGUCGCGCGGUUGGCAUAAAUACCAAGUCCUCGGCGACGCACGCCACGACAAGCGGUGGUUGCGAAACCUCGGUUGCCCGUCGUGUGCGGUCGUCGCGCAUCGAGGGCUCGAAAAAAUUGCCGGGCUCCGGCUCGGCUUUCAACGCGACCCCAGGUCAGGCGGGGUUACCCGCUGAAUUUAAGCAUAUCAAUAAGCGGAGGA
rnacentral:misc_RNA from 1 species